rnacentral:rRNA from 1 species
UACAGAGACUGCAAGCGUUAUUCGGAUUCACUGGGCGUAAAGGGUGCGCAGGCGGCCGUGUGUGUGAGGCGUGAAAGCCCGGGGCUUAACCCCGGAAUUGCACCUCAAACUACACGGCUAGAGCAUUGGAGAGGGUAGCAGAAUUCACGGUGUAGCAGUGAAAUGCGUAGAUAUCGUGAGGAAUACCAGAGGCGAAGGCGAGUCUCUGGACGACACCUGACACUGAGGCACGAAGGCCAGGGGAGCAAACGGG